rnacentral:rRNA from 1 species
UGGGGAAUCUUGCGCAAUGGGCGAAAGCCUGACGCAGCAACGCCGCGUGAGGGACGACGGCUUUCUGAGUUGUAAACCUCUUUCAGCAGGGACGAUGAUGACGGUACCUGCAGAAGAAGCACCGGCCAACUACGUGCCAGCAGCCGCGGUGAUACGUAGGGUGCAAGCGUUGUCCGGAUUUAUUGGGCGUAAAGAGCUCGUAGGCGGUUUGGUAAGUCGGAUGUGAAACCUCCAGGCUCAACCUGGAGCCGCCAUCCGAUACUGCCAUGACUAGAGUCCGGUAGGGGACCAUGGAAUUCCUGGUGUAGCGGUGAAAUGCGCAGAUAUCAGGAGGAACACCGGUAGCGAAGGCGGUGGUCUGGGCCGGAACUGACGCUGAGGAGCGAAAGCGUGGGGAGCGAACAGGAUUAGAUACCCCCGUAGUCC